rnacentral:rRNA from 1 species
GCCCAGACUCCUACGGGAGGCAGCAGUGGGGGAUAUUGCACAAUGGGGGAAACCCUGAUGCAGCGACGCCGCGUGGGUGAAGAAGCGCCUCGGCGCGUAAAGCCCUGUCAGCAGGGAAGAAAAUGACGGUACCUGAAGAAGAAGCCCCGGCUAACUACGUGCCAGCAGCCGCGGUAAUACGUAGGGGGCAAGCGUUAUCCGGAUUUAUUGGGUUUAAAGGGUGCGUAGGCGGAAGGUUAAGUCAGCGGUCAAAUGUCGGUGCUCAACACCGGCCUGCCGUUGAAACUGGUCUUCUUGAGUGAGCGAGAAGUAUGCGGAAUGCGUGGUGUAGCGGUGAAAUGCAUAGAUAUCACGCAGAACUCCGAUUGCGAAGGCAGCAUACCGGCGCUCAACUGACGCUGAGGCACGAAAGCGUGGGGAUCGAACAGGAUUAGAUACCCUUGUAAC